rnacentral:rRNA from 1 species
AUGAUACCCGGGUAGUCCACGCCGUAAACGAUGAGUGCUAAGUGUUAGAGGGUUUCCGCCCGUUUAGUGCUGCAGCUAACGCAUUAAGCACUCCGCCUGGGGAGUACGGUCGCAAGACUGAAACUCAAAGGAAUUGACGGGGGGCCCGCACAAGCGGUGGAGCAUGUGGUUUAAUUCGAAGCAACGCGAAGAACCUUACCAGGUCUUGACAUCCCACUGACCGGUAUAGAGAUAUACCUUUCCCUUCGGGGACAGUGGUGACAGGUGGUGCAUGGUUGUCGUCAGCUCGUGUCGUGAGAUGUUGGGUUAAGUCCCGCAACGAGCGCAACCCUUGAUCUUAGUUGCCAGCAUUUAGUUGGGCACUCUAAGGUGACUGCCGGUGACAAACCGGAGGAAGGUGGGGAUGACGUCAAAUCAUCAUGCCCCUUAUGACCUGGGCUACACACGUGCUACAAUGGAUGGUACAAAGGGCUGCAAGACUGCGAAGUCAAGCCAAAUCCCAUAAAAACCAUUCUCAGUUCGGAUUGCAGG